AUUGAACGCUGGCGGCAGGCUUAACACAUGCAAGUCGGGCGGUAACAGGGGAGCUUGCUCCUGCUGACGAGCGGCGGACGGGUGAGUAACGCGUAGGAAUCUGCCUGGUAGAGGGGGAUAGCCCGGGGAAACCCGGAUUAAUACCGCAUACGCCCUACGGGGGAAAGCAGGGGAUCGAAAGACCUUGCGCUAUCAGAUGAGCCUGCGUUGGAUUAGCUAGGUGGUAGGGUAAAGGCCUACCAAGGCGACGAUCCAUAGCUGGUCUGAGAGGAUGAUCAGCCACACUGGAACUGAGACACGGUCCAGACUCCUACGGGAGGCAGCAGUGGGGAAUAUUGGACAAUGGGGGCAACCCUGAUCCAGCCAUGCCGCGUGUGUGAAGAAGGCCUUCGGGUUGUAAAGCACUUUAAGUGGGGAGAAAGGGGUGAUGGCUAAUAUCCAUCAUCAUUGAUGUUACCCACAGAAUAAGCACCGGCUAACUCCGUGCCAGCAGCCGCCGUAAAAC
rnacentral:rRNA from 1 species